rnacentral:rRNA from 1 species
UACGGAGGGUGCAAGCGUUGUCCGGAAUCACUGGGCGUAAAGGGCGCGUAGGCGGUUCCUUAAGCGGGUGGUGAAAGCUCAGGGCUCAACUCUGAGUCGGCCAUGCGAACUGGGGGACUCGAGCACUGUAGAGGCAGGUGGAAUUCCGGGUGUAGCGGUGGAAUGCGUAGAGAUCCGGAAGAACACCGGUGGCGAAGGCGGCUCACUGGGCUGACCUUGACGCUGAGGCGCGAAGGCGUGGGGAGCGAACGGG